ensembl:lncRNA
CUCAAAAAUAGUGAAAAGAAAAACUUUAGCCCCUGUCCUCCAUGACUUUAAAUCAAUACUUGCUGUGAUUUCUGAAAUAAUCUAAAAUUUAUUAAAACCUAUCCAGAAGACCACUCUUUGUCGAUGUUAAAAGGCAAUUUUCUAUUUGUAUUCUGACUUUUCAAGUGAACUGCUAAAGUGAACCUCUGACAAAAUGGAAGUAUCAGUACAGUGUCCAAGGCUAUGGAAGGCUGAAGACCAUCAGAGCUUCCUGUCAGAUCUGUGCAGUGCAGAGUCAGCAGAUUUGAUCCAAUGUAUUCGCUUUGUAAAUGUCCCUUUUUUUCUUUUCCACUCUAGAUCUAAUCUUGAAGCUUGCUGACCUAUAACUAAAGCAUGACCUGGAGAACAGAUUGUGCUUGAUUUCAGUGACUAAUCAAAGUUGUCAGCUAUACAGAUGUGAAGGAGAAAACACAGGAUAUCACACUUUGUGAUAGGAUGUAGUUAAAAUCCACUGCUGCAUGUGAACUCAUUCUUCUGGAAGGAAUCGAGUUCCUUCAAUCUCCUAUUAAACUAUUCUCAGCUCUACCUGUAAGGCAAUCAGUCUUGCAGGUGUUGACCUUAAAAAUAAGCUCAGCAUCCUUUUGUCAGAUGGAAAUUAUGAAUCUUCUCAAAAUGAGGUGCUGUUACUGAUUUUUUUUUUCCACAAAGCUCACUUAAAAUUACCUAAAUUUCAGUUCAGAUUUUUUCUCACUUUUGCUAUCUACUGACUGUCAGCCAGAUCAGCAUCUAAACAGAUACCAAAACACUGCUUAUCAACUAAUCACAUCACUGUGAAAGACAAAAUAACCUUUCAUGUUCUAAUUAUUUUAUAAUGCCUUUGAUUAUUAUUUAUUCGGUGUGCAAAACAUAGUGUAACUCCCCCGUGCCUACUGUUGGAGAAAGUGCAAUGCUAAAAGUCAGCUCUGCAAAUUUACAAAAACAAAUAAGCAAAGGUAGCCCAUUUAAAUGCUACACUACUGACAGUUACUUAAAAUGCUCCCACUUGAAUCUGCUGCAUCAGUGUGAGUUUUAGAAGGCAAAGUCCAUACCCCUGACUAUGAGCUCUUCUUGAAUAUAAGAACAAUUUAAAUGCCUUCUUAAAGUCAGAACCAGGGCAAUGAGUCACUGGAACAGAUUGCCCAAAAGAGUUGUGGAUGCGCUGGAGUUAUUCAAGUUCAGGCUGGAUAGAGCCCUGGGCAGCCUGAUCUGGUGGAAGGCAGCUCUCCCCACAUCAGGGCAUUGGAACUGGAUGGUCUUUAAGGUCCAUUCCAGCCAAAACUGUCCUGUGAUUUUAUAAUUCUAUGAAGAACUCAAGCACAAAAAUCCCUCUCAAGGCUGGAAUUAGCAGUCUCACUCCCCGCAUAGGGAGAAGCGUGGGAUGAGUGCUUUUUAAAUGAGUGCUGCAACUUCAAUGUAUAGUGUCUCCUUCUUAUUACCUUGUGCUGAGAAACAAAUUCAAAAAGUGGAGAGCAAAACACUUUUGUUCACAAGGUGUGGUGUUGGACUGGGGCCUCCCCAGUCUGGGGUAGGCAUUGAAAUCUGUCUCCCCUAUUUCAUGGGGAAUGCUUCAACCACUCUAGUAUGAUAGCCAAGACCCCAGUAAUGUCAUCAUCUUUGUGAAUGACUCUAAAAGGAACACAGUGUAUUUUCAG